AGUUGACGCAAAGAGUGGGGCAGAAGGAGAGAAGACUUUGCAGUGGAGUAUGCCAAGUUCAACAGCAGCAUGUGCAAAGAGACUAAAUCUGUGUGUUAAACAAGACCGUGGACCCAGAGAAGCACCAGCUUGGGUUGAUAGACCACUGGUACCAUACAGCCUGCUUCGUGGGUCUUCAAAGUGGAGUACAGCGCUGCCCAGCUCAAAGGCUUCAACACACUCAGGGGAAGGAGCUCAAGAUGAGGCUGCCUGCCAUUAAAUCUGAAGGGUGUCAGUACACUAAUUAAUCUCCCUGAUGUUUGACUUACCUUGGAUAAAGCUCUGCUCCCAACUGGCCUCAUGUACAAAGUUAAU